GGAAAACACAAGCUCUCACCCGUCUGGAGGCUCCGCGGCUUGGCGCCCAGAUAUGCCAGGUUCACGUUGGCCUUGCGGCCGUCGAUGAUGGGGUUCGGGUCUUUGCAAGCCCUCUCAGCUGCCGCCCGGUCGGCCAUGGUCACCUGGUGGAGCAGAGACACAUCAGGGGCUGCCGUGGGGGGAACCAGGGGCGAAAGGGGCAGACGGCUCCGCCCUGGCACCGGAUGCUGCCACCCCUCUCUUCCCUUCCUCUGAGGGUGCCUGUGACCCAGGGUCCUUGAGCCAAAGCUCCUCUGAACCCUACCUGGGGCUCUCCCACAAAGAUGCCUCCUGGAUUCCAGCUCCUCCCGUCAAAGUUCAAGGCCUGGGAAAUGUGGCCUUCAAGGACAAAAAUAAUCCCCUGCGGGGAUAGGGCAAAAAUGAACCCCGAAGGGAGCUUGGGGGGCCGCCUGGACUUGCCCACCAGUGAGGGCCGAGACUUUCCUCUGAGAAGGAGUUUGCGACGCUAUGCUUGGAAGUUACAGAAAAACUCUGCAACAGGCAGUGGAAUGGAGAGACGGCAAGUCGC
rnacentral:lncRNA from 1 species